AACCUAUAUAAAAGCCAAACCCUUUUGCUUUAACCUCAUCAAUUUGGGUACUAUUCAUGGUUAAUUCCUCUCCAAUCAGAUCUUACCACGUUGGCUUUUUUUCCUGUAGAUGGGUGAAUGGGUACGGCAGAUCUAGGGAGAGUUAGUCUCAUUUUACUUUUUUCUAUGUGCAAAUCCCUAGAUUACCGGCACUUUCCUGUAGCCUUCUCUUAUUUAUCCGGUUACCAUUUCUGUGGAGUAUGUUGUUUCCUUCUCUUCUCUCCCUUUGAUAACCGGUUUUCCGGUUUCCAUCCGUUCAUUCACAGUCAAAGCGGUGGAGAUGUCCCACCACCGAGUAACCAGCAAUCUCCACGAGAAAGAGGAAUUGGAUCCUCUCCUCCGCGUCGCCCACAUCCUCACGGCAGUCGGCAGCCUCCCCUCCCUCUCUAGCCUCCUCUCUCUCCCAAAGCGGCGGCUGUCAUGAAUGAUAAGGUUGGUGCCCUCCUUCACAAGGUGAGGGGCCUAGGUCUCUGAUCCUCUUUUUCCUCUUCCCUAUCUCCUGGUGAUCACUGCUGCCCGCCAUGUUGCUGAUGUGUGUGAUCUCUUUUCCUCUUCCCCAUCUCCUGGUGAUCACUGCUGCCCGCCAUGUCGCUGAUGUGUGCGACACAUCCGAGACAAACGGACGUGCUCCUGCUGCGUUGUUUGCUCUGCUAGCCGCCGCUCAGGCCAAGGCUCUAUUGAGUCCUCAGCAGCGUGAUAGCCCCACACCCCCUCCUUCUGCUGACCGCCGCCGUUCUACUAGCCUCCCACAUGGGAUCUGGCCGGGCUGCUGAAGGCUGCGAUCAUGAACAGCCACCUGUGAGAGGAGUCGCCGACAAGGGCAGGAUGUAUUCUGCGCCCUCCCGUUCCUGGCACAAGGAUGCAUAGAGGAGUCGCAACCUUCGCCUCCAUCGACGACACCAUCAAUAGGUGUGUGCCAGCCCCACAUCCCCUAUAGAGAGAAAGCACAAGCAACUUAAAAGGUGCGACCUUAAACAGAAGUGUUUCUUUCUCUUAGUCAUGCAAUGUAAUCUUUUCACGUUUUGACAUAUCUCUGAUGUUUUCUGAAUGGACUAUGCCACAUACCUAUACAUCUAUGUUUUGGAUUCAAGCGAUGCUGGUCUUCAGCUGCUACAGCAUCAUGUGCAGGUUUAGAAAGCUAUGAUGCAGUUCAAAAUUUAGUGAUUUCUAAGUAAGAAGAUUACUGAUGAAAUUUACGUUACAAUGAAUGUUACUGACAUCACUCAGCCUUGCUGUUAUUUCCGUAAUCUAUACUGUAUCAUAUACUUGCAGUUAAUUGCAGUUAUCUGAAAGUGAAGGAAAAGAGGGACACAGGAAUGCCAGCAUAUAUUUUCUCGAAGAAAUACAGUACUAUGAAAAUAAAAGGUUUUAUGUGAAAAGAACAAGGUCGGAGAGGCCAUGAUUACCAUGUUGGAUUCAAGAUCACCUCGAUUACAAUUUUGCCUUCCGAUGCCUUCCGACACAGUAGGUUCUAGAUCUCUAUGUGCACCAAAGAGUAACUGCUUCAGGUCGAAUAGAAGUUUGAUUCGACUGUCUGCAAAAAUCAAGAUCAGAUCAGGCAUCUUUAAAGAAUUGGUUGAUUUACUUAAAGAUAAAGGAGCAACGAGAGGAGGAUGGUGCACCGUACAUGGAGAUGGUGUUCUUGGCAGGGAAGAUGUGCAGCUGCUGCGUGGGUGGGGUUUCAGACUUCGAAUCUAAAGGUAUAAACGAUGCCCCCCAUAGGGGGACUCACAGAGCUUUGAGCUUCUCAACCAUUAGAUCUUGUCAGCACGUGUCAGUGGGUGUAUCGCGUCCGUUAAUUCCGAGCCAGUAGCGUGCCCGGGCGUCGCUGGGUGUGGGCGCGUGAGUGGCUCCUGUUCGUUGCCCUCACUAGAUCAAGCCAUGA